rnacentral:lncRNA from 1 species
UUUACAUCCCUACACCACUGUUUCCUUCCUCCAAAUUCCAUCCAAAAGAAAAUGAUCUCCUCUUGAAUGAAAAGUUAAAAAGAACUCAAAAUUCCACUUCCAAAAGAAGCUGAGAUUUCAUCAGGUUGGUUUAAAAUUCUAAUCAAUUUCCGGGUAGAGAUUCGAGAUUGAGGCGUUAUCAACAAGUGGUCCGUUCGAGGUUUCCAGAUUUUGGGUUUAUUUGCGGAUUGAUUUGCGGUUCAUGUUCAAUAGUUGUUGCUGUUUGCUACUCUAUCGAUUUCCCUUCGACGGAUUUUUCCUCGCUUGAUCGAGUGUAAAGCUGUUUUGGGGCAAUUAUUGAAAAGCUACUCAAAGCUCCACUUCAUUUCUCAUCUCAUAUUCCUCUUAUAUUAUGUUCUGUUUUUGUUUUAUAUUUUUAGAGUUACAUUCCCUGGUUCAUUAUUUUUGAUUGAUCUACUUCAUGUUCAUUUACUUGUCAUCUCUUGAUUAGAACUAAUGCAUGAAGAUUAACGGUCCAAAUACUUCGGGGAAUUUAAGUUAAAAAAAAUUGAAAGGAUUUG